rnacentral:rRNA from 1 species
GACGAACGCUGGCGGCGUGCCUAAUACAUGCAAGUUGAGCGCUGAAGGUUGGUACUUGUACCAACUGGAUGAGCAGCGAACGGGUGAGUAACGCGUGGGGAAUCUGCCUUUGAGCGGGGGACAACAUUUGGAAACGAAUGCUAAUACCGCAUAAAAACUUUAAACACAAGUUUUAAGUUUGAAAGAUGCAAUUGCAUCACUCAAAGAUGAUCCCGCGUUGUAUUAGCUAGUUGGUGAGGUAAAGGCUCACCAAGGCGAUGAUACAUAGCCGACCUGAGAGGGUGGUCGGCCACAUUGGGACUGAGACACGGCCCAAACUCCUACGGGAGGCAGCAGUAGGGGAUCUUCGGCAAUGGACGAAAGUCUGACCGAGCAACGCCGCGUGAGUGAAGAAGGUUUUCGGAUCGUAAAACUCUGUUGGUAGAGAAGAACGUUGGUGAGAGUGGAAAGCUCAUCAAGUGACGGUAACUACCCAGAAAGGGACGGCUAACUACGUG